UACAGAGGUCUCAAGCGUUGUUCGGAUUCAUUGGGCGUAAAGGGUGCGUAGGUGGCGCGCUAAGUCAGGUGUGAAAUUUCGGAGCUUAACUCCGAAACUGCAUUUGAUACUGGCGUGCUUGAGGACUGGAGAGGAGACUGGAAUUCAUGGUGUAGCAGUGAAAAUGCGUAGAGAUCAUGAGGAAGACCAGUGGCGAAGGCGGGUCUCUGGACAGUUCCUGACACUGAGGCACGAAGGCCCAGGGGGAGCAAAACGGGG
rnacentral:rRNA from 1 species